GAUGAACGCUGGCGGCGUGCCUAAUACAUGCAAGUCGAGCGAACGGACGAGAAGCUUGCUUCUCUGAUGUUAGCGGCGGACGGGUGAGUAACACGUGGAUAACCUACCUAUAAGACUGGGAUAACUUCGGGAAACCGGAGCUAAUACCGGAUAAUAUUUUGAACCGCAUGGUUCAAAAGUAAAAGACGGUCUUGCUGUCACUUAUAGAUGGAUCCGCGCUGCAUUAGCUAGUUGGUAAGGUAACGGCUUACCAAGGCAACGAUGCAUAGCCGACCUGAGAGGGUGAUCGGCCACACUGGAACUGAGACACGGUCCAGACUCCUACGGGAGGCAGCAGUAGGGAAUCUUCCGCAAUGGGCGAACGCCUGACGGAGCAACGCCGCGUGAGUGAUGAAAGUCUUCGGAUCGUAAAACUCUGUUAUUAGGGAAGAACAUAUGUGUAAGUAACUGUGCACAUCUUGACGGUACCUAAUCAGAAAGCCACGGCUAACUACGUG
rnacentral:rRNA from 1 species